rfam:Felis catus isolate Cinnamon breed Abyssinian chromosome X, whole genome shotgun sequence.
GCCUGGGUGGCUCAGUCGGUAGAGCAUCUGACUCUUGAUUUCGGUUCAGGUCAUGAUCCCAGGGUCAUGGGAUGGAGCCCCAUGUCAGGCU